UACGUAGGCAGCAAGCGUUGUUCGGAGUUACUGGGCGUAAAGGGCUCGUAGGCGGCCAACUAAGUCAGACGUGAAAAUCCCUCGGCUUAACCGGGGAACUGCCUGCCAGACUGUGAGGCUUGAGACCGGGAGAGGUGAGUGGAAUUCCCAGUGUAGCGGUGAAAUGCGUAGAUAUUGGGAGGAACACCAGUGGCGAAGGCGGCUCACUGGACCGGAACUGACGCUGAGGCGCGAAAGCGUGGGGAGCAAACAGG
rnacentral:rRNA from 1 species